GUGCCAGCCGCCGCGGUAAUACAAAAGGUGCGAGCGUUGUUCGAAAUUAUUAAACAUAAAGCGCGCGUAGGCGGCUCUUCAAGUCUUACGGUGAAAGACCGGGGCUCAACCCCGAGCAUGCCGGGGAUACUAGGGGGCUGGAGACAGGCAGAGGCCAGCGGAAUUCCGAAUGUAGCGAUAAAAUGCGUAGAGAUCCGGAAGAACACCGGAGGCGAAGGCGGCUGGCUGGGCCUGAUCUGACGCUGAGGUGCGAAAGCGUGGGAAGCGAACAGGAUUAGAUACCCUGGUAGUCCACGCCGUAAACGAUGGGCACUAGAUGCUGGGGGGAUCGACCCCUUCGGUGUCGCAGCUAACGCAUUAAAUGCCCCGCCUGAGAAGUACGACCGCAAGGCUGAA
rnacentral:rRNA from 1 species